rnacentral:tRNA from 2 species
GUAGUGGCGCAAUUGGUAGCGCAUCGGUCUCCAAAACCGACGGUUGGGGGUUCGAGUCCCUCCUAC